UCUAAUGUGGCAGAAUUAUGCAAUGAAUUUAAGCUUCAUUUAUAAAAUUAUUUUUCUUUAGAA
rnacentral:tRNA from 1 species